rnacentral:rRNA from 1 species
AGAGUUUGAUCCUGGCUCGAGAGUUGAACGCUGGCGGCAUGCCUUACACAUGAAAGUCGAACGGCAGCGGGCCUUCGGGUGCCGGCGAGUGGCGAACGGGUGAGUAAUGCAUCGGAACGUGCCAUUGAGUGGGGGAUAACGUAGCGAAAGUUACGCUAAUACCGCAUAUUCUGUGAGCAGGAAAGCAGGGGACCGCAAGGCCUUGCGCUCUUUGAGCGGCCGAUGUCAGAUUAGCUAGUUGGUGAGGUAAAGGCUUACCAAGGCGACGAUCUGUAGCGGGUCUGAGAGGAUGAUCCGCCACACUGGAACUGAGACACGGUCCAGACUCCUACGGGAGGCAGCAGUGGGGAAUUUUGGACAAUGGGCGCAAGCCUGAUCCAGCCAUGCCGCGUGAGUGAAGAAGGCCUUCGGGUUGUAAAGCUCUUUCGGCCGGGAAGAAAUCGCAUGGGUUAAUACCCUGUGUGGAUGACGGUACCGGAAUAAGAAGCACCGGCUAACUACGUG